UGGGGAAUUUUGGACAAUGGGCGAAAGCCUGAUCCAGCAAUGCCGCGUGUGUGAAGAAGGCCUUCGGGUUGUAAAGCACUUUUGUCCGGAAAGAAAUCCUUGGCUCUAAUACAGUCGGGGGAUGACGGUACCGGAAGAAUAAGCACCGGCUAACUACGUGCCAGCAGCCGCGGUAAUACGUAGGGUGCAAGCGUUAAUCGGAGUUACUGGGCGUAAAGCGUGCGCAGGCGGUUUGCUAAGACCGAUGUGAAAUCCCCGGGCUCAACCUGGGAACUGCAUUGGUGACUGGCAGGCUAGAGUAUGGCAGAGGGGGGUAGAAUUCCACGUGUAGCAGUGAAAUGCGUAGAGAUGUGGAGGAAUACCGAUGGCGAAGGCAGCCCCCUGGGCCAAUACUGACGCUCAUGCACGAAAGCGUGGGGAGCAAACAGGAUUAGAUACCCUGGUAGUCCACGCCCUAAACGAUGUCAACUAGUUGUUGGGGAUUCAUUUCCUUAGUAACGUAGCUAACGCGUGAAGUUGACCGCCUGGGGAGUACGGUCGCAAGAUUAAAACUUAAAUGAAUUGACGGGGUCAUAGCUG
rnacentral:rRNA from 1 species